rnacentral:rRNA from 1 species
UACGGGGGGAGCAAGCGUUGUUCGGAUUUACUGGGCGUAAAGGGCGCGUAGGCGGUCGUGACAAGUCACUUGUGAAAUCUCCGGGCUUAACUCGGAACGGUCAAGUGAUACUGUCGGACUAGAGUACAGAAGGGGCAACUGGAAUUCUCGGUGUAGCGGUGAAAUGCGUAGAUAUCGAGAGGAACACCUGCGGCGAAGGCGGGUAGCUGGGCCGACACUGACGCUGAGGCGCGAAAGCCAGGGGAGCGAACGGG